AAGAAAGCUUGCAAGAACUGCUAAUUCAUGCCUCCAUGUUUAAAGACAUGGCUUUCUUA
rnacentral:tRNA from 1 species